AUUGAACGCUGGCGGCAUGCCUUACACAUGCAAGUCGAACGGUAACAGGUUAAGCUGACGAGUGGCGAACGGGUGAGUAAUGUAUCGGAACGUGCCCAGUCGUGGGGGAUAACUGCUCGAAAGAGCAGCUAAUACCGCAUACGACCUGAGGGUGAAAGCGGGGGAUCGCAAGACCUCGCGCGAUUGGAGCGGCCGAUAUCAGAUUAGGUAGUUGGUGGGGUAAAGGCCUACCAAGCCGACGAUCUGUAGCUGGUCUGAGAGGACGACCAGCCACACUGGGACUGAGACACGGCCCAGACCCCUACGGGAGGCAGCAGUGGGGAAUUUUGGACAAAGGACGCGAGUCUGAUCCAUCCAUGCCGCAUGCGGGAAGAAGGCCUUCGGGUUGUAAACCGCUUUUGUCAGGGAAGAAACGCUCUGGGUUAAUACCUCGGGGUAAUGACGGUACCUGAAGGAUAAGCACCGGCUAACUACGUGCCAGCAGCCGCCGCAG
rnacentral:rRNA from 1 species